rnacentral:rRNA from 1 species
GAUUCUGGCUCAGGAUGAACCGGCUGGCGGCGUGCCUAACACAUGCAAGUCGAGCGAGAAGGCCAAGAACAGAGAUUCGUCAACGGGACAGGCCGGACAGCGGCGGACGGGUGAGUAACGCGUAGGUAACCUACCUUAUACUGGAGGAUAGCCUAGGGAAACCUGGAUUAAUACUUCAUAACGCAUUUUUGUUCACAUGGACGAGAUGCCAAAGAUUUAUCGGUGUAAGAUGGACCUGCGUCUGAUUAGAUAGUUGGUGAGGUAACGGCCCACCAAGUCAACGAUCAGUAGCCGAUCUGAGAGGAUAAUCGGCCACAUUGGAACUGAGACACGGUCCAAACUCCUACGGGAGGCAGCAGUGGGGAAUAUUGCACAAUGGGGGAACCCUGAUGCAGCAACGCCGCGUGAACGAUGAAGGUCUUCGGAUUGUAAAGUUCUGUCCUUAGGGAAGAAGAAAGUGACGGUACCUGAGGAGGAAGCCCCGGCUAACUACGUGCCAGCAGCGGC